UGUACAUUCGCGCACAUGUAUUAGGCUAUAGAGAUGUUUACGAUGUAGCCUAACAUAUGCUAGUUUCAAGGUAACCUAAUAGCGUGUAUCUAGAACACACACACUCAGAAAUACAGAACGCAUCGAGGAAGGAGCCACGCGCUCAGGAGUGGCCAUCCUGUAAAGAUGACUGCAAGAGCACAGCGCAGAAUGCUCAAUGAGGAAGAAGAAUCAUAGAGUGUCAGCUAAAGACUUACAAAAAUCUCUGGAAGAUGCUAAAAUCUCUGUUGACGAGUCUACAAUACGUAAAACACUCAACAAGAACGGUUUUCAUGAGAUGACAUCAUGGAAGAAGCCACUGCUGUCCAAAAAAAACCAUUGCUGCACAUCUGAAGUUUGCAAAAGAGCACCUGGAUGUUCCAGCACUACUGGCAAAAUAUUAUGUGGACAGAUUCAACUAAAGUUGUGUUGUUUGGAAGGAACACACAACACUAUGUGUGGAGAAAAAAAGGCACAGUACACCAACAUAAAAACCUCCCAACUGUAAAUUAUGGUGGAGGGAGCAUUAUGGUUUGGGGCUGGUUUGCUGCCUCAAGUCCUGGAGAGCUUGCUAUCGUCCACAGAAACAUUUAUUCUUAAGUUUAUCAAGACAUUUUGCAGGAGAAUGUAAGGCUAUCUGUCCGCCAAUUGAAGCUCAACAGACGUUAGGUGAUGCAAAAGGACAACCAUCCAAAAGACAGAAGUACUGUGGCUUGUGAAAGUAUUCACCUCCUUUGGCAUUUUUCCUAUUUUGUUGCCUUACAACCUGGAAUUAAAAUAGAUUUUUGGGGGGUUUGUAUCAUUUGAUUUACACAACAUGCCUACCACUUUGAAAAUGCAAAAUAUUUUUCAUUGUGAAACAAACAAGAAAUAACACAAAAAAAACUGUUCUUGAGCGUGCAUAACUAUUCACCCCUCCCAAAGUCAAUACUUUGUAGAGCCACCUUUUGCAGCAACUACAGCUGCAAGUCUCUUGGAGUAUGUCAUUAUAAGCUUGGCACAUCAUGCCACUGGGAUUUUUUGCCCAUUCUUCAAGGCAAAACUGUCCAGGUCCUUCAAGUUGGAUAGGUUCUGCUGGUGUACAGCAAUAUUUAAGUCAUACCACAGAUUCUCAAUUGGAUUGAGGUCUGGGCUUUGACUAGGCCAUUCCAAGACAUUUAAAUGUUUCCCCUUAAACCACUCGAGUGUUGCUUUAGCAGUAUGCUUAGGGCCAUUGUCCUGCUGGAAGGUGAACCUCCGUCCCAGUCUAAAAUCUCUGGAAGACUGAAACAAGUUUCCCUCAAGAAUUUCCCUGUAUUUAGCGCCAUCCAUCAUUCCUUCAAUUCUGACCAGUUUCCCAGUCCCUGCCGAUGAAAAACAUCCCCACAGAAUGAUGCUGCCACCACCAUGCUUCACUGUGGGGGUGGUGUUCUCGGGGUGAUGGGAGGUGUUGGGUUUGCACCAGACAUAGAGUUUAAGAUACGUUUUUGUCUAAUCUGACCUUAGUACCUUUUUUCAUAUGUUUGGGGAGUCUCCCACAUGCCUUUUGGUGAACACCAAACGUGUUUGCUUGUCAUUUUCUUUAAGCAAAGGCUUUUUUCUGGCCACUUUUCUGGCCCAGCUCUGUGGAGUGUACGGCUUAAAGUGGUCUUAUGGACAGAUACUCCAAUCUCUGCUGUGGAGCUUUGCAGCUCUUUGAUGCCUCUCUGAUUAAUGCUCUCCUUGCCUGGUCCAUGAGUUUUGGUAGGUGGCCC
ensembl:lncRNA